CGGGGACUCCGUGACUUCAGUUCCCUCCGCAACUGUUGUAGCAUGCUUUCUACUCUCUUCCCUCGUUGAAGCCAGCGGAAGCUUUAGGGAUUCCAUCGGUCGUUCUCUCUCUGGUAUCUUGGCGCUCGCCCAAGGCGACCGACACCUAGGUUCAGGCGAGCGACUAGGCAACGCUUCAUUGAAGUGCGUCGCCUGGCCAAUCUGUGAAUUGGUACAUGAUCUUACAGCUCGGCCCUUCUGCUGAGCUUGCUGACAUAGAAGCUAAGUAUUCCAUGCUUGUAUCGCAAUUAAAUUCAAUCAAGAAUGACUUCCCAGGUACUGAGGUGGCCCUAAAUUUUGUGAAGGAAGCUUCUUAUGUGUUCUUAGAUCCAGUUAAACGAGCAGCUUUUGAUUCUAAACGAAGUGGUUUAGGUGGUGUUCCAUGUCAAUCAAACCCUAAGAUUAAGGUUGGUUGCUCUGUGGAUGUUGGCAAUCCAGUGGUGGUGGAAAGAGCUGCUGCAGGAUGUAAUUUUGAUAUACCUUAUUUGAGUGAAAUGGCAACUUGUGAGGCUUCAGAGGACAAUGCUGAACAGCAGCAGAAGAAGAUAUUGACCAAUGAAGAAAGCUGUAUCACAUCCCAAAAGAAUUCCAAAGAUGGUAUUGGUCUCUACCUGAAAUGCCCAGAAGAAAAUUCUUCUUCUUCUUCACAGUUCAUAUCAAGAAAGAGGCCUGAACCUGACUUUUACAACUUUGAGAACAAUGCAAAGGCUGAGCUUUCUUCUCCACUUAUCAGAUUUGGGUAGCCUACAAUCAAGAAAAUAUGCCACGCAGAUAUGCUCAAAUAGAUAAGAUGAUGCCUGACAUGUUUCAUCUGUAUGUUACAUGGUUCAAACCUUGCAUCCCAGAGUCCCAGGAUGAAAAGAAAUGGUUCGCUGCAGUCUUGCCUAUUGCUUGUGGUUCCCUUGUGCUGGAGUGCAACAAAUUCACAUUUAGUAAUCGUGCUAUGUUAUCUCACCUAAUAUCAAAUGGUAUAACAAAACAACAAUUUGAAAUUUAUCCUAGGAAGGGUGAGGUCUGGGUGCACUACAGAGAUUGGGGCAUUGGUUGUUGCUCUAAUCCUCUGGUCACAAAGAAUUGUGACUUUCAAAUGGUGGAAAUUAUUACUGAUUAUUUGGAAGAUUUAGGUGUCACUGCUGCUUACUUGGCCAAGGUUGCUGGAUAUAAGAAUGUCUACUGCAGGUACUUAGAGAGAGGGAAUGUGUUAUCCAUUAAUAUCCCAAGAAAAACACUCUUUAUGUUCUCUCACAAUGUCCCUGCAUUCAGAUUUGAGGGUGGGGAAAUUGAUGGAACUGUGAAAGGUAUGUUGGAGUUGGACCCUUUGGCUGUUCCAGAUAAUUUGUUCCAAUAUUUUUCUUCUGCUAUUGCAACUUGUACAGAUGCACCUUGCUUGAUGCCCAAGGUUGUGAACUGCUAUGAUAAUGCCAAUUUCACUCGGUUUUCUAGUCCUUCUGUUAGUACAACAGACUCAGGCGGGUCAAGUACUGGAAUCCUAAAUCAUAAGUCCAAGCGGUCAGCUAAGAAUUUCAAAGUAGAACAGGUUUGGGCUGUAUAUGAUGGACUGGAUGCUAUGCCUCGAUCAUAUGUGAAGGUAACUAAUGUGGUUUCACCAUGUAGAGUAUCUGUGAAUCUGUGAUAUUCAUAGAAUCUCAUCCAAUGAUUGAUGAAGAAAUUCAGUGGGUGGAAGAAAAUUUGCCACUUGCAUGUGGGAUAUUUCGAGCUGGUAAUGUGGGCAACUUGGAUAUGUCCAGGUUCUCUCACCUUGUUAAGUGUGAUAGUAGCAAAAAGCAAUCAUUCUACAGGAUUUUUCCAAAGAAAGGUGAGAUAUGGGCAGUGUAUAAAAAUUGGAACAAUAACUGGAAAGAUUUCAAUUUUGUUGGGUUCCUAUGUCAAGUGGUUGAGAUCCUAUCAGAUUUCUCUGAGGAGAGUGGAACCAGCAUAUGUAGCUUGGUUGAGGCAGAGGGAUGCGUGACCUUUUUUGUAAGGAAAUUGCAUGAGGGUUUUCAAUUGACGAAGCAGCUUCAAAGAUUAGAAAUGCUCAGCUUGUCACAUGGAAUCCCCGCCUUUACCGUGGUUGGUAUCAAAAACCAUGCAAUUCCAAAAGGGUCUUGGCACCUUGAACCGGAUGCACUACCUCCCAGGUGGAGCAACUAAAAAGUGCGCUGCUGGCAUUAUUGUCCGGGUGUUGGCUGAUCAAACAUAUUAGUAGUUGUAACUAUUAUUAUAUUUAUACUUUUUAAUGUGCCGAAUAUUCAUUCAUACAA